CCUACGGGAGGCAGCAGUGGGGAAUAUUGCGCAAUGGGCGAAAGCCUGACGCAGCGACGCCGCGUGAGGGAUGAAGGUCUUCGGAUCGGAAACCUCUGUCAGCAGGGAAGAACGGUCACUGUGCUAAUCAGCAGUGAAUUGACGGUAACUGCAAGGGAAGCACCGGCUAACUCCGUGCCAGCAGCCACGGUAAUACGGGGGGUGCGAGCGUUAAUCGGAAUUAAUGGGCGUAAAGCGCUCGUAGGCGGUAUGUCAAGGCAAGGGUGAAAUCCCCGUGCUCAACGUGGGAACUGCCUUUGAAACUGGCUAACGGGAGUGUGCGAGAGGAUAGUGGAAUGCCAGGUGUAGGAGUGAAAUGCGUAGAUAUCUGGCGGAACACCAGUGGCGAAGGCGACUAUCUGGCACAUAACUGACGCUGAGGAGCGAAAGCGUGGGUAGCAAACAGGAUUAGAUACCCUGGUAGUC
rnacentral:rRNA from 1 species